AUGGCUCUUUUGGGCUAAAUGUGUGCCGUC
rnacentral:piRNA from 1 species